rnacentral:misc_RNA from 1 species
AUAUGUUUCCAUGCUUCAACUAGCGCCGUAAGCACAAAACAUGGUAACAGUAAUGAGUAUAUGGAAUAUCAACAGUCAAAAUUAUCUGAGUUAUGAGCUCCCUAAUAUGUGAAUAUUGUUUCAAAAAUGGCAAUCAUUUUCAUCUAUAAACAAUCCUACUUCCAAGGACAAUAGGCAAGAAAUAUCCACUUCAUAAGAAAAACCAGAAAAUGAA